GCUUAUCUGGCCAAUUUGAUGGAUUAUAUCUUGAUUAGACAACUAAGUGAUUCGAGCUGACCUAUGUUAUUAAGGUUGAUUAGUGUGACUGAUCUAGGUGCCAGUUCAACUAACAUGAUCUUGAUCCAAUUCAAUGACUUGGUGAAGUCAGUGGGAGGAUUGUGAUUUACUGGUUGAUCUCUUCUCUUUUCUUGACUCAUAAAUUAAAUUCUUUAAAUUAUUAGAUCCAUAAA
rnacentral:lncRNA from 1 species